UUUUCGGGGCCGCCUUCGGACUGCCCAGAGCCCCUCACUUGCCCCUCGACCCCCACAUCCUUUUACUUCUAGACUGCGCUCACGCCCCCGGCUUGGUGGAGACACCUUCCUGAGGCUGGAGGAGGAGCGGAUCCGGGCAUCCUGGCUUCCCCACUCUCUCCAGCUGCCUGGCUUCCUGAUAGAUGGUGAUUAUUAUAUAAUAGACCUGCUGGACAGAACCGUGCCAGCGCUCCGAACACUUUGCCCCCCUCCUCGAAGCCUGCCUGCCCCAGGGCCUGGCACCAGCCCCACAGAGCCUGCUGCCCAGCUCUGCCGGCGCCCCCAGCCUGUCUCCAUCCCGAGGCGGGAGACCCUGGACCACCUUCACUGGUGGCCCUGGGGCCACGUUCUGGGACGGGGCGUCCGCCGGGCUAGGAGUCGGCCGGCUACCAGCAGGUCUCAGGGUCGGCCUGCGGAGGGAGUAUGGCUAUACCAGCGCCUCUCCACGACUGUGGGACCCACCUGGCCCCUCCAACCUAAUCUUGGAAUUUGGGAACCAAGAGAGCCCGGCCCCAGUCUUGCAGAUUGCGGGCAGACUUAACUCCUUGCGUGCCAGCCUGAUGGACUCCGAGGUGGAGACGCUGCGAGGGAGGGACUCCAGACCCCACUCCUAUCACAAUUUAACACCUUGUGGCCCGAAGGCAGUCUCGGAAUUUGGGCUGGUCGGAACCCUGGAAGGCUGCCUGGUCCUCGAGGUGCGCCACACAAAACCCGGCACCUGACAGCUGCCUCCUGUCGUCCACUCGUGCCAAAUCUUAACUGUCCACCCUCCCCCGCCGGUCCUCUGCGUCUCUCCCUCCACUCUGGCCGCCCGGCCCACUGGUCGUUGCAAAGGUCCCUGACAGAAGGCGCGGGGACCCCGGAAGUCUGGGUUCUGUGGCUACCGCAGCAUUCGUCUCUGUUUCCCGCCUGUGAGGCCCAGCGCAGGUGACCACAGCCCUGGCCUCUCUUGCCCCCAGGGGGCUCCUUCACCCAUCUGCGGAGGCAGCCACCCACCUGAAGCAGGGAAUGCUAGCGUCCCCCAGCUCCAGCGAGGACACGCCUGAGUAACAGGAAACCCUGAUUUUGCCUCCACCUUAGCCCCUCUUCUAGGCAAGACCCUCUCCACCAUCAGAUUUGCCCCUCAAUUCUACUAUGACUGACUCUGCCUGAGGGAAGUACCUCGGACUAAGCACGAAGGGGUUAAUGGAGCUACCGGGCUCUGAGUGGGAGCCAGGCCUUCCCAUUCCUCCAGACCCCAGCAUCGAAUUCAAGCCUGUAGCCCGGUUUCAGAGCUCCUACCUGCUACCCUGGGCCUCUUCAGCUCCCUGCCCUCUGGGUUUGUCUCCAUAAAAGGACCCCUCUUAUCCCAGCUGGGUGAGAGCCUUCCUCCCCCCUAUACAGAAGCCCUUCCAGGCUAGUGAAGGCCAUGAUCUUGAAGGGUCCCUUUUCCGUCCUUUUCUUUUGCUUACCUUACUUCCCUUCCUCUCCCCAUUUCCCACUACCCUCUAUCGAAGAUUUCCUUUUGCAGGGAUAGUUCAUCCAACCAGGGAAAAUUCUGUCCUCCUUUUAGGCUGUGAUACCUAACUCAACAUCUGCCUCUUCCUCUGAGAAUCCUUCUUUACCAACCCCACCUACUUACUCAUUCAACAAAUCUUUUUUGAGGACCUACUAUAUGCCGGGCAGUGGACUAGACAAUAGGUGUAUAUUGGUGAACAAGACAGAUGUGACCCUUGCCCUCAGAGCCUACAGUCUCGUUGGGGAUGGACAACAGAUAGGUGACUUCAGUUCAGGGUUAUGAAGGCUCAGGGAGCACUUCAGGGAGACACCUAUCUUGGGCUUGGAAGUCUGGGGAAGUUUCCUGCAGGGAGCAACGUCUGAGCUGAGACUUAUUCCAGCCUAUGGUGUGGUUCUGUCCAGGCAGACAGGACAUCUCACUGGACGUCUAAAGAUAGAACAGGAGCCGAGCAACGGAUCUCACCAGAUGUUACAAGAGAUCUCUAAGGCUGCAUUCCCAAGUAAAUUCUCCAAGUCCCAGAAGAAAGAAGACUGGCCUGAGAGUCACAGGAGUAUGUGACCUUGGCCCAGUCACACCCUGUUUCUGGGCCUUAGUGUCUUGAAAUAUAAAACUAGAGGGCUGGGUGAGUUUAUCUCCAGGCCCUUUUUUAUCAGGAAAAUGGCAAUUAAACAGUGGUUUUGAUUUGUUGAAAUAAAAACCCUCACACAGCUCUGGUCUGCUUGGGGAGGGAGAACAGAAAAAUUCAUAAACCCAGGAGAGGCUGUCAGAGGCGCGGCCCCAGAGGAAGCCGCCCGAGCCAGCUCCUACUCUUUGCUGCACAUUGCCCGGCAGUUCUGAAUCCUGGGAACAUUUCAUUCUUGCCGUGAACUGAAGUCAAGAGCCUUUCUGAGACUGUGCUUGCCUAGAGAGAUGAGCAUGCUGGGAGAGUGCUCGCAGAAUAUAUAUAGUUACUGCACUAAUUUGCCCCUGUGUGUAGCACUGAAGAGCUUUUAUUUUUGAAUGACAGCGUUCACAGGUGAGGAAACUGAGGCCCAGAAUGGUGAAAGGACUUGCCUAAAAUCACGAGGCUGGGGAGUGAUGUCAGAAAGCGGUGCUCAGGUCUCCUGAUCCCCAGUCCAGACUCCGUCCACGCCACCAUGGCAGCAUUUGCUUCCAACUUUCCAUUGGCCUUCUUCCUGUGUCUGGCGCAUUUCCCUGUGAGGCCAUGAGAUCUGGGAAGGCAGCCUUGGCCUCCUUAUCUGGACAUCCCCUAGAGCCUGGUGCAGGGCUCUGAACAGAGGGAGGGGGGCUCAGAGCCCCAUCCCCCAGCCCCCCUUUCUCCCGCUUCAUGACCCUAUUUACAGGCAUAUAGCUGUCUGGCCUGAUCUAAAGGCAUCUCUGGAUUAUACCAGGCAUGUUCCCAGUCCCGUGAGGCCUAAAACCUGCUCUGUGACUUCACACAAGCUGAUUACCUUCCCUGGAUCUCAGUUUCUUCUCUGUCAAAACUGAUUCUAACUCCUUGGCCAUUUGUAGCUUGAAGUCCCAGAUUAGGAAAUGUUUUUAAAAGAUAUAACUCUAAGGUACAGGAAGGAGUAUAACAUCUCAGUCCGUCUGCAGAAGCCCAGCAGCCCCGGGCCAUGUCUGCUCUGUCUGCAGGCACUGCUGAGCUGCCCUGCCUUCCCCUGGCACCAUGCUGAACCCUGAGGAAGUUACAGGAUAAGUAACCUGAAUACAUUCUGGUUCAGCUCAGAGGCCAAAAAUAAUCAAAAAGGAAUCCCAAUUUUUCCUGGUAUGUCCAGGUGAUCCCAUAUGUAACCUACCACAGCACUGGUUAAAAUACCCUUUCCUCCUGUAUUCUGCCGAUCCUACAUCAGCCCCUCUCUCUGCCUCUUGGUCCUCCAUAGUCCACAGAGCUUCGGUCUCUCUCUUUGCCCACUGUCAUCUCCUUAUCUGGGUUGGCUUGGCCGCCCAGGCUCCGUUAUUUUCCUUUCCCUUCACCCAUUACCCAGAUUCUCCCUGACACACAAGAAAGGUGCCCAGUCCCUGCCUCUCUACUCCUCUCUCCCCCCUCUUGUUCUCCCAGUUCUGUACCAUAAAAGCCCUGGAACUGAGCAGGCCAAGACAGGAUUUCCAACCACAGCUCCAGAUCUCAAGGACACAGGCUCUGCCAUUUCCCAUCAGACGGACAUGUGGACCCUGACCCUUCUCCGGCACUGAGGAAGACAGGAAGGUUCAUGGAGCAGAGAGGCAGGAACACGCUCCACAGACCCCAUUCCGCUCCCCACAAGGGACUCACUCCUCUGAGUUUCGGUGCCACAUCUGCAAAAGGGAGCAAACAACGUCUGCUGCCCACAGCUGUCAGGAUACCCGGGCUGACUUCAACAUCUCAAGCCUCUCUGGUCUGCUGUCGCCGGCACUAGCGGAGAGCCUGCUAGUUGCCUUGCCCCCCUGUCACCUCACAGGGGGCAAUGCCACACUGAUGGUCCGGAGAGCCAAUGACAGCAAAGUGGUGAAAUCAAGGUUUGUGGUGCCUCCAUGCCGCGGACGCAGGGAGCUGGUGAGUGUGGUGGACAGUGGGGCUGGCUUCACGGUCACCCGGCUCAGUGCCUACCAGGUGACAAACCUCGUGCCAGGAACCAAAUACUAGUAGGUACCAGCCCCAGGCCUGGGGCACUGUGUGGGGGUAAGAAAGAGAAGAUGGGUCCUGACAUCUGCAGUGGGCGAACAUGGUCAGCAUGGGGAGAGGAGGGCAGAGCUAAGGGGUCAAGAAUGGGCCUUCCUUGGAGGUCCUGUGAAGGGGGAGGCCUGGGCUCCUUCUCCCAAGUCCCAGGUAGUCGCUGAGGAUCGUCUCCUCUCUCUCCCAAACCUCACCACAAAAGCAUUUCCUACCAAGUGAUGAAGGGGACAGUCACUGAGUCCAGCAGAGAGAUCCCCAUGUCCACACUUCCUCGUGAGUAACAUCCCCGGGCACCCCAGGCCCAGCUGCCGCCCCCCCCGUGCCCACCUCUCCCAGCUCUGAGCCCUUGGCUCUGCAACUGCCUGUGGGCUCGCCUGCCCGCGCUGUAGGGGUGUGUCCAGUCCAUCGCUGUGACCUCAGGGACUGACACCGGAGGGUCUCCAGGGCUGUUUGGGUCCCUGCGAGGAUCAGUUGGUGGCUGGAUCAAUAAACGGUGAAGGGACGACUGGAUGAGGGCUGGGCGGGGAGUCUCGGGAAGGAGAGGGGCUCCUCCGGCCCACAAACGCCUCCCUGCUGUCUGGAGCAGGAAGGGCGGCAGAGUCCCUGGCGCUGGGAAUGGCCCGGACAGGAGGUAUGGUGGUCAUCACGGUGCUGCUCUCUGUCGCCAUGUUCCUGCUGGUUCUGGGCCUCAUCAUCACCCUGGCACUGGGUGCCCACAAGUGAGGAGGACUGCGCGGAGCGGGGGCCUCCCCCAGGAAGCCCAGGCUGUCUGUCCCCAGCCCAGGGCUCUGCCUCCCCUCCUGAGAAGACUGUCUGCUCCCAGGCCUCAGUCACCAGACUGGCUCCUUCGGCGCCUCCCCUCCCCUGCCCGCCUGCCCCCAGUGGAGCCCAUUCCCCUCCUUUCCCUCUCCUUGUCCCCUCAUGCCUCACCUUCCCCCAGCACUCCCCACAUUCCACUCACCCGACUCCCGUCAGAAUUGAUACUCCUCCCAUUUUACCUUAAAUGCCCCACCCCUCCCGAUGACAAUUCACCCCCGACCCUCAGUGAACAAAGUUCCUAGAAUAAAGUCUGAUGUCCCACCAGG